GACGAACGCUGGCGGCGUGCUUAACACAUGCAAGUCGAACGGAAAGGCCCUGCUUUUGUGGGGUGCUCGAGUGGCGAACGGGUGAGUAACACGUGAGUAACCUGCCCUUGACUUUGGGAUAACUUCAGGAAACUGGGGCUAAUACCGGAUAGGAGCUCCUGCUGCAUGGUGGGGGUUGGAAAGUUUCGGCGGUUGGGGAUGGACUCGCGGCUUAUCAGCUUGUUGGUGGGGUAGUGGCUUACCAAGGCUUUGACGGGUAGCCGGCCGGAGAGGGUGACCGGCCACAUUGGGAAUGAGAUACGGCCCAGACUCCUACGGGAGGCAGCAGUGGGGAAUAUUGCACAAUGGGCGGAAGCCUGAUGCAGCAACGCCGCGUGCGGGAUGACGGCCUUCGGGUUGUAAACCGCUUUCGCCUGUGACGAAGCGUGAGUGACGGUAAUGGGUAAAGAAGCACCGGCUAACUACGUG
rnacentral:rRNA from 1 species